rnacentral:rRNA from 1 species
UACGUAGGCAGCGAGCGUUGUUCGGAGUUACUGGGCGUAAAGCGUGCGUAGGCGGCAGUCCAAGUCUGGUGUGAAAUCUCCCGGCUCAACCGGGAGGGUGCGCCGGAAACUGGGCUGCUGGAGUGCGGGAGAGGUAAGCGGAAUUCCCGGUGUAGCGGUGAAAUGCGUAGAUAUCGGGAGGAACAUCGGUGGCGAAGGCGGCAUCCUGGACCGGUAUUGACGCUGAGGCGCGAAAGCCAGGGGAGCAAACGGG